rnacentral:rRNA from 1 species
UACAGAGGGUGCGAGCGUUAAUCGGAAUUACUGGGCGUAAAGCGUGCGCAGGCGGUUUUGUAAGCCAGAUGUGAAAUCCCCGGGCUUAACCUGGGAAUGGCAUUUGAAACUGGAAGGCUUGAGUGUGGCAGAGGGGGGUGGAAUUCCACGUGUAGCAGUGAAAUGCGUAGAGAUGUGGAGGAACACCAAUUGCGAAGGCAGCUCGCUGGGACGUUACUGACGCUGAGACGCGAAAGCGUGGGGAGCAAACAGG